GCUGGAUGAAGAGGAGCAGACACAAGGAGAGAUAACAACACAUAAGAGGUCACGAUAACGGACGGGGGGUGUUAUUUGGGAUUCCCAGUUCAUGCGAGACAUGGAAAGCAAUGGUUACGACUCGGAACUGACACCUAGAAAGGAAGCAAAAUGUUAGCGGAUGAUGGCUUGAUGCCCAAGAUUUAAUAGAAGCGACAUGGAUGUCAAGAUGACAAAUCAGAUGUGUUUAGGUCACAAACAAACCCUGUGGUUGACUCCCUUUCUAACUACAAAGCAGCCUGUUUGUUAGGCCGGGGCACAAAAUGGCCGCAGACAAACAUGAAAAGUCCAACAAGAACCACAAGAGCGAUACCGAGCUACAAAUACAAUGAGACUGCUUAUGCGUGAAUAAAGUCACUGAAUCGAGUGAUUGUCUGCCACGUUAGCAUCUCAUGCUAGCUGCUAACUUACUACAGGCAACAAGUUUGCUGCUAUAUGCUUGUCACUUCAAGAGGUAGUCUUUUAUGUAUAAAAGCGUAAUAGUUGUUUUUUUAUGAAGUGUUUGAAGAGUUUUUAAAGAUAUAUUAAGUGCGCUCGUAUGACAAAAAUGUUGAAACGCUAUGUUAACAUUUCCGUACAGGAAAUAAAGUUAUUAGGAUGGUGA